GACGAACGCUGGCGGCGUGCUUAACACAUGCAAGUCGAACGGAAAGGCCCUGCUUUUGUGGGGUGCUCGAGUGGCGAACGGGUGAGUAACACGUGAGUAACCUGCCCUUGACUUUGGGAUAACUUCAGGAAACUGGGGCUAAUACCGGAUAGGAGCUCCUGCUGCAUGGUGGGGGUUGGAAAGUUUCGGCGGUUGGGGAUGGACUCGCGGCUUAUCCGCUUGUUGGUGGGGUAGUGGCUUACCAAGGCUUUGACGGGUAGCCGGCCUGAGAGGGUGACCGGCCACAUUGGGACUGCGAUACGGCCCAGACUCCUACGUGAGGCAGCAGUGGGGAAUAUUGCACAAUGGGCGGAAGCCUGAUGCAGCAACGCCGCGUGCGGGAUGACGGCCUUCGGGUUGUAAACCGCUUUCGCCUGUGACGAAGCGUGAGUGACGGUAAUGGGUAAAGAAGCACCGGCUAACUACGUG
rnacentral:rRNA from 1 species